CCCAUUGAUAGAUGGAGGCAGAAAUUUUAAGCAGCCUUUUAGAAGUCGGAAAACAGGUAGAAGACAGGAAGAGAAGGCUUGCUCUUCACCUCCAUGAGUGUGGGCCUGUGAAGUGAGGGCUUCUGCCAUCUCCCCACCACUGCUCAGCAGCAGGUGGAGGUGAAGCCCCACAUGGCCCCCAGUGAGGUUGUUACCACAGCCAUAGAUGUGGGGCGCUGGGGGAGCCUGACAGAAGCACUGGUGGAUCCUCACUGGUGGGAGGAUCCAUAACCAUAACACAGUUGGGGAAGUGAAGUGAUGUGACACAGUGCAGCAGGAAAAGGCCCUUUGUGACCCAAAUGCUGCCAGUGCCGUGGUGGCCAGGCCGGGGCCUGGGCUGUGGCAUGGCCGAGGUGGGCUGGGCCUCCGUGGACGCCGGCCUUCCCGCAGAGAACUGCGAAACCCCUCUGUGUGGCAGGGCCUGCUUUCUCCAUGUCGCAGCCUGCGUACAGUCAGCGGUUGUAUCAAACUGGCUCUUAAAUGCAGUCAUGUACCAGCUCUACACUGGCCUAGCAACUGUAUGAACAAAACAGAAGAUGAUCUGUGUCCAAAAGAG
rnacentral:lncRNA from 1 species